UGUGAGAGCAAGAGCCCGGAGAUGGAUUCUGAGACACGAAUCCAGGCCCUACGGGGUGCAGCAGGCGCGAAAACUUUACAAUGCUGGCAACAGCGAUAAGGGAACCUCGAGUGCCAGGUUACAAAUCUGGCUGUCGAGAUGCCUAAAAAGCAUUUCAUAGCAAGGGCCGGGCAAGGCCGGUGCCAGCCGCCGCGGUAACACCGGCGGCUCGAGUGGUAACCGUUAUUAUUGGGUCUAAAGGGUCUGUAGCCGGCCGGAUAAGUCUCUUGAGAAAUCUGGCAGCUUAACUGUCAGGCUUUCAGGAGAUACUGUCUGGCUCGAGGCCGGGAGAGGUGAGAGGUACUUCAGGGGUAGGGGUGAAAUCUUGUAAUCCUUGAAGGACCACCAGUGGCGAAGGCGUCUCACCAGAACGGACCUGACGGCAAGGGACGAAAGCUAGGGGCACGAACCGGAUUAGAUACCCGGGUAGUCCUAGCCGUAAACGAUACUCGCUAGGUGUCGGCCACGGUGCGACCGUUGUCGGUGCCGUAGGGAAGCCGUGAAGCGAGC
rnacentral:rRNA from 1 species